rnacentral:siRNA from 1 species
AGAAGUUCAACGUCCAUGAUAACU